GACGAACGCUGGCGGCAUGCCUAAUACAUGCAAGUCGAGCGAACAGAUGAAGUGCUUGCACUUCUGACGUUAGCGGCGAACGGGUGAGUAACACGUAAGGAAUCUACCUAUAAGCGGGGGAUAACAUUCGGAAACGGGUGCUAAUACCGCAUAAUAUCUUCUUCCGCAUGGAAGGAGAUUGAAAGACGGCUCUGCUGUCACUUAUAGAUGACCUUGCGGUGCAUUAGUUAGUUGGUGGGGUAACGGCCUACCAAGACGAUGAUGCAUAGCCGACCUGCGAGGGUGAUCGGCCACAUUGGGACUGAGACACGGCCCAAACUCCUACGGGAGGCAGCAGUAGGGAAUCUUCCGCAAUGGGCGAAAGCCUGACGGAGCAAUGCCGCGUGAGUGAAGAAGGCCUUCGGGUCGUAAAACUCUGUUAUAAGAGAAGAACAAAUUGUAGAGUAACUGCUACAGUCUUGACGGUAUCUUAUCAGAAAGCCACGGCUAACUACGUGCCAGCAGCCGCCGCGG
rnacentral:rRNA from 1 species